GCGGAGGGAGAACGGAGGGGCGGUUCUAGGAGCCGGGAGGCGGCCGAGGAUGGCGGCGGCUGCGUCUCCCGCUCGGGAGCUGACGCAGAACCCGCUGCAGAAGACGUGGGAGCCCUACAACAACGGGCUGCCGGCGGGGCACAGCGCCCAGCGCGGCGUAUGUAUGACCAACUGCCCUACGCUGAUUGUCAUGGUGGGUCUGCCAGCAAGAGGAAAAACCUACAUCUCGAAAAAGCUGACGCGCUACUUAAAUUGGAUUGGAGUGCCUACGAAAGAAUUUAAUGUUGGUCAGUAUCGUCGAGAUCUGGUGAAAAAGUAUAAAUCUUUUGAAUUCUUCCUGCCUGACAAUGAAGAAGGGUUGAAAAUCAGGAAACAGUGUGCCUUAGCCGCGCUGAACGACGUCCGACAGUACCUCAGUGAAGAGAACGGGCACGUGGCUGUCUUUGAUGCUACCAACACCACACGAGAACGUAGAGAAACCAUUUACAAGUUCGGUGAAGAAAAUGGAUAUAAGACCUUUUUUGUGGAGUCAGUAUGUGUCGAUCCAGAGGUCAUUGCUGCAAAUAUUGUGCAAGUGAAGCUGGGUAGUCCUGACUAUGUUGAUUGUAGUAAUGAUGAAGCAACAGAAGAUUUCAUGAAAAGAAUAGAGUGCUACAAGAACUCCUAUGAGACGUUGGAUGAAAAUCUUGACAAGGAUCUUUCUUAUAUUAAAAUUAUGGAUGUUGGAAGGAGUUACCUUGUGAACAGAGUAAUGGAUCACAUCCAGAGCCGAAUUGUCUACUACCUCAUGAACAUCCAUGUGACGCCUCGGUCAAUCUACCUCUGUCGACAUGGAGAAAGUGAACUCAAUCUGAAAGGGAGAAUAGGAGGGGAUCCUGGACUGUCUGUCAGGGGUAAAGAAUUUGCCAAGAGCUUGGCACAGUUUAUUAAUGAGCAAAACAUCAAGGAUCUGAAGGUUUGGACCAGUCAGAUGAAAAGGACGAUUCAGACCGCUGAAGCUUUGGGAGUGCCUUAUGAGCAGUGGAAGGUUUUGAAUGAGAUAGAUGCAGGAGUGUGUGAAGAAAUGACAUAUGAAGAAAUACAGGAGAAUUACCCUCUUGAAUUUGCACUGAGAGACCAAGACAAAUACAGAUACAGAUACCCUAAAGGAGAGUCCUAUGAAGACCUUGUUCAGAGGCUGGAGCCAGUAAUUAUGGAGCUUGAAAGGCAGGAAAACGUGCUUGUCAUAUGUCACCAAGCUGUCAUGCGCUGUUUGCUCGCAUAUUUUCUGGACAAGCCUGCAGAACAACUGCCUUACCUGAAAUGCCCGCUGCAUACUGUCUUAAAGCUAACUCCAGUGGCUUAUGGAUGUAAAGUAGAAUCUAUAUUUCUGAAUGUUGAAGCAGUAAACACGCACAGAGAUAAACCCGAGGUCCUCGUGCUGAUGCCACUGAGUAUGGCAGUGGUUCCUUGCUGAGGCAAUGCACCAUGCCUGCUAGUGAAUUAAAAGUCGGUUUGAUAAUGUGUGAUAAUGCUGUGGUGGUUUUCAGAACAAUGGCUUAUAGUGAAAAGGAGUGUAAAGAUAAAUGUGUGCAGACACAAGUCAAAAUACUUCACUUACGUGAGGGUACGCGUGUGUGGCAGUGGUACAGAAGUGUUGGAAGAGUCUGCAAAGAUGUUUUAAUGACUCAGGCACUGUGAGUUCUGGAAAUACUGACAUCUGGCCAUUCACAGUCGCUUCCAUCAGAUAAGUUGCAUUUCCUUUCUUCCUUCUCUUUCCUCAUUUAUCUUUGUGCUUUACCACUUCUGUGUCUUAGUUCAGCUUGUUAGGUUCAGGAAAUCCAUUCUCAUUCCAUGGUGCCUUAAAGCAUGGCGAGAGUAAGUGAAGAUGUCUUAGACCAAGUGUUAAUGUUAUAUGUCCUGAAUUAAGUAGGUCAAUUUAACGUCUGCAGUUUGUCUCAUUAAAUACUGGUGCUGAAUUUACAGCUUGCUGAAGUUCCUUGGGAAUUACUGUUGGAAAUACCACUUCUUUAACCAAAGGUGUUAAUUUAGGAGGAAAGCUGUAUAAGUGGUUGGCAGUGGUGGUGAGCAUUUCAGGUGCAGGCAGUGGGCUUGCUGUCUGGACACAAACACACAAAGCUGUUCGGUUUAGAACAAAAAUAGAUCGAUACAACAAACAAGGAAAAGAGCAGAGCUGUUUUUAUGGAAGAGCUCUGAACACUCUUGUCCCUGCCCCACAGGGAACCCCAAUCUGGUGAAAUACUGGUGAUGAUCCGUUGUUUGUUAGUGUAGCUGGUAAAGGGCUGAGCUGGUCCUGUCUGCAUUUGGAUGUUGCUCCGAGGGCUGUGGAUGUUUCCAAAGCUUUCGUCUACAUAACCUACAGAAAUGCUAAUUGUUUCUGUUCAGUAGAGUAUUUGAAAAAUUCAUUUAAGUCAAAGCAUUUAAUUAAGCAUCGUGUCACAGAUAUCAAUGCCACUAAACAAAGAGACCAUGAUGAAGAAUUGCCUACUGUGCUGUUCCGUGCCCCCACGAGGAAUUUGUGGCCCCGCCUGCAGGACAGUGCGCUCCUUAUCUUCUGCAGCUGCAGAGAUGUACUUUUGCACUGCUGCUAAGUACUGGAGUAUUUGUUUAUAGUGUCUGUAAACCUCAUUGUGUGUGGGUGAUUUGUCUCAAGUGGACUGAAGCCCUGUGUUUGUCGGCAUUGCAGUGGCUGAAGUGGCUGACCUUCUCAGAUGAAGGAGUCCAGCCUUUGCACUGAACACAAAUCAGGGGCAUUGCUUGAGCUAUUGCCUGGCUCCUCUUUUUGGGUCAGAAAACAAGCACUGGGGUAAAACGUCUGCUUUGUGCUUCUGCCGUAGGUGAUGAGCGACAGAUAGGAACACUUCUUCUAGCAAGAAAUCCAAAUCCCCUUUUUCCUUUGUUUUUUUGAGGGAGGAGGUGAGGUGUCUACUAUUGACUCUGCUUAGCACAGGGUCAAAGGGAUAAAGCCUGAAGAAUGUGUUAGGAGAACUGGCAAGGUGCUGUUGUUAAACGGGCCACGUUUUUAAUGCAUGUGUGAGAAAUACCUUCAGCACAGUUCCUCGUGGUCUGUGUUCUUGUCUGAAGGGAGAGCACCUCCUGCACGGUCUCUGGGACUCUGAUGGAGCAGUGCCAUGGCAGGCCGGGUGCCUGAGGCUUGUUCAGCAGUCAGCACCGUGCUUCCUCGCAUAGUGGAACGUAGACAUUUCCCGACCUCCUGAGGAAGCCCUUGUAACGGUCCCUGCUCAUCAGUGAAGGCCGUGUCCUGACCAGCUAUCCAACCUGGGGUGCCAUUUUCAUCGACUGCUUCAAAAUAAAUUGGAAUACUAAUCAUUCCAAUCACCUUGAAAUAAGAAAUAAUGAUGUAAAAACAAAACGCCAAAGCCAACAACUCAAAACCCGGAGUAGAUCUUUGUACAGUGCACGGCUUGAGAGAAUGAUCACAAUAAAACUGUACUGCCCUGCUUUGUUUAUUGCAGAUGAGUUGUUGAACAGCAAUCAGCCGUUGCUGGAACACCGUUCUUAUAAAUUGCUGUAACUUAAAGAUGCUGCAGGAUUGAUUCUCAAAGCUGUUGAGCUAUUAUAACAGCCUGCAAGCAUUUAAUGUCAGCUGAAGCGGGCUUGUCUAUGGGAGCUGUGAAGCACAUCAUGAUAAGAAGUUUGUUCUCUAGGCACCGCCGUUAUCGGUUCCGGUGCCCUUGGGAGCGAUUGGAGUGCUCUGUUGCAGCAAACAACAAUCUGUAGUUGCUGUGCAGCCUUAAUCCUGCUGAUCCGUAGCGCUGGAGCUCUGCGUGCGCUCAUCAGCGGCGAGCUGCCGGGGAGAGCGGAGCAAGUGAUGCCACAACUGCUAGUGAAGUACAGGAACGUGGCUAAGUGUUUUCAGUAUGCAGCUUCCCGUAGCAGCUGUUGGGCAUUAACCGCCCUUCGGAGCAGAAGUGCCUUUCCAUUUCCUUUCAGUGAGAUGGUACUUGUUCUGCUGAAGUGCAUGGGCCGGGUGAGUGCCCGGCGCUGCCUCGCUGGCUCUGGGGAGGACUCGGGUUAGUCUCAGUGCUGGGAGAGGCGCUGAGUGAUGCGGGGAGCGGAAGGCGGUUAUUUGCUGGUCAGGCUGUGGCUUGCCUUGCAAGGCAUGGAAGCAGGAGGCUUUUCCUCCUCCAGUAGGAGCCCGGUCUCAGAACAGCAGGGCGUGCAUCCUAAACCUGGUUACAGCAAAAGCUCUCCCAUGCUGGAGAGACCCGGCUUGUUCGCAGCGUGCUGUCCCGCCUUGGCCCAGCCCUGCGGUGCGCGGUGGGCAGAGCGUGGAGGACUGAAGCAGCUCUGUGUGGUGCCGGGUCUGGGGACGGUGGUAAACCCCGUGUCCUUGAGCUGGCUCCUGAAGGGGAAGCUUUGUCUGGAGAGUAAGUGAGAGCGGCGUGCUGCGGGACACUUCUGGCUGCGGGGAGGUUUCUCAGACAUGUUUUUCCAAACUUGGGAUUUUGAGGGGGGGGAAAGCAUUGUGCGUUUGCACUUCUAAAGUUACACUGCAGUUUUCUGAGGUUUAUAGCACUCAGGAAUGUGUAACGUAACUGAAGAGCCUCCUGGCCAGAGGGCUCCUGCUCUCCCAGCUCAGGCAGAGCAGCGUGGGCUGGGGGACCCAGAAUCCUCCUCAGUGUUGUGACCGUGAUGUGAGAGUUGUUGUCACCUCUCAGGGUUUGUACGAAGGAAAUACUGCGCAGUUCUAAGCUGAACACAUGGAAAAAAUCUGUGCAGGCUUCUGUUGCGGAAAAACAGAGUUUUGUGGAUGUACAGAAUGGGGUGACAUGGGAUUUAAAAGCAGUUUUGCCCUCUGGGGGGAUCUCCCAUUACAGCAGAAUUGCCUGGUAGCUUCCCUGGGUGAUUUUCUUGGCCUGGUGCUGGAGGGGAGGUGGCGGUGACAGGUCUCUGUGCAGCAACCCGGGAGGAAGCUGGCUGAGAGGAAGCCUUCCUUUGCAUUGUGCUCUUCAUCUCUCUGUUGGUGUGCCUGUUCUUCAGCUGUGGGUGAUCCUUACUAGCUUCAUAUGCCUCAGCAUUCUUCCUGGCUCCUGUGCGGUUCAGAACCUUCUUCCCCAGCUGAGCCUUUUAAGCGAAGUCUUCCAGCUUUGUUGUGAAGAUCACGCACAGAGAAACAAAGCUAAGAACUAAAAUGGCAUCUGUCUGUGUAGGAAACACACAGCACUUGUGUCUGGGGGAGGCACUGCCACCGGCACACCUGGGGGAGCCCAGGCAGCACAGCAGUGUGAGUAGGAGCAGCAGAUGCCCGGCUUCAGGUGCUAUUUCUGUGGGCCCUCUGCAGCUUUGGAACAUGACAGCUAUCAGCUGGCACCAUCCAGCACAUCCUAUUUAAAACUCAGUGAAGUCAAGGUUUCUGAGACCGCGUAAAAUAUCAGUAAAGAAGAUAGAAGCUCAAAUGACCAGAGGAGGUACAGUACCGUUCCAUUGCAUGCCUUUAUUUCCCAGUGCCCGUGGUUGUUCUGGCAGUGAGAAUGGUCCCAGCUGCUGUAAUCAAAUCUAAUGUGAUUGCUAUGAGCAGAAAUUCAUUUACCAUUAAGGGGAUGGUAGUCUCUUUCUAGUCUUCCAGCUAUGUGUCUCAUUUGUCUGAUAAGCCCUAGGGUUUAUUUAUUAGGCUUUGUGGUGUUUCUUCCAUGUGGCAGUUCAUCGUGCUUUGCAUCUACAGCCUUUUCCCCUUCACCUUUGUUCAGACUGAAGGAAUUACUGCUUUCAGCUUUGCAUAUGGAUAUUCCCUCUGCCUUAGCUGCUGGGAUGCACUUUUUGCCUGGCAGGCCUUAUUUCAGUUAAGGAGAGGUGGCUGUUCCUUGUCUUGGCCACGUUGUUUCCUCUUAGUUUCACGCUGUAGCUCCUUAUUGCUCUUCAUUUCCAGUACCUCCGGAUUCCUGCAUAUUGAUGCUCCAUUUCAAGCUCCGUUUAAUCUUCUUUGAAUCGACAGCAGACGCUUAGCUUAGGAGAUGUUAGCCAAUCUUCUUGCAUUGCCUGUGGAGACAUCUCCACAUUCUCGAGGAGUUUUUGGGUAUGUUGCAUCAGUUCCUAAGAAAAUACAGACAAAUGAGGCAAAUGCCAGCACAGUGGGUGUCUCUGUUGUGGUCAGAGCAACUCGCUUUGCCAGGUCCUCAUGCUCCUGGAUGUCAGCGUCAUCUUUUUGUCUCUGGAAGGAAAGCUGCCCUGCAGGAGCAUCUUCCUGGAACAGGAGUGUUGUUUUCUUCCUCAGAGAGAGCAGUUGGAGAGUGGGGUGGGCAGCACUCGUGUGCCCGCGCUGUGGUUGUGGCUGGUGCCGACGUACCCUGAGGGUGGAAGACAGGUGAGAAAAGAAAGGGCUGACAUUGGCACAGGAGCAUCAGUAAGGGCAGACACGAUGUGGACACGCUUGAUCCCCCACAUCCAGGCAAGUACUGCUUGUUCAUUCCUUGUUUUCUUAAGGAGUGACUGAACGUCCUGGAAGCAGGGGCUGGGGCUGGCUCGCUUUGUGUGUAGGUGUGUCCUGGCUGAUGGAGCGGCCCAUGGUCUGUGCGAGGGUCUCCUUUUCCUCCAGCUGGACUGGACAGAUGUGCGUGAAAGGAAAACUCCAAGCAGCAGGGCUAUAAAACCGUGGGAAUGUUAUCUGAUACGUGUAUGAGAUCUGCCAACACGCCUGGAAGUCCCACACUUCACAUUACCAGCCCUUCAGGGAGACAUUCAGUCUGCCCAGUGACUUUGCUGCCUGCCGGGAUCAGAACUGGCUUUCUAGCUGCGGUGUUAAGGAGUCAGUUCCUGAGGCAUGCUAGACACAAAGGAGAGGUGACUUUCCCUCCAUCCCAAUUUUGUCCCUUUUUGUGUGGUUGAUGAUCUUUGCUGUAUGUGGUGUUACUUUCCUCUUGCACUACGUGUGUGUCUGAAAGGCUAGAAGUAAGUGAUCGGUGGUUAAACACACUGGUUGGAAUUAAAAUAAAUAAAUAAAUAAAUAAAAAAGCAAUGUGACAUGAAUAUAGUGUGGAGAAACCAGCUGUCCAAAACCAGUCGUCCCACGGGGGGUGGUGUAACGUGCGCCAAUGAGAUGCUGUCCGAGUGUCCCUGCCAAGCUCUGGGCUUCUGGUUUCUGUUCCCAGGCUGGGACCUCUCCUUCUGCUUUACGAGAUGCGCUGAGGAAAUGAGCAUCAGAACUUGCACAAUGUCUGUCUUGUGUAAUCACCGUGAGCUGAACAAAGCUAUGGCCAAUGGUGUGACUCAUGCCUUCAAGUACUUUCUGUCUUUAAAU